rnacentral:rRNA from 1 species
AACGAACGCUGGCGGCAUGCCUAACACAUGCAAGUCGAACGAACCCUUCGGGGUGAGUGGCGCACGGGUGCGUAACACGUGGGAACCUGCCCUUAGGUUCGGAAUAACACAGAGAAAUUUGUGCUAAUACCGGAUAAUGUCUUCGGACCAAAGAUUUAUCGCCUUUGGAUGGGCCCGCGUAGGAUUAGCUAGUUGGUGAGGUAAAGGCUCACCAAGGCGACGAUCCUUAGCUGGUCUUAGAGGAUGAUCAGCCACACUGGAACUGAGACACGGCCCAGACUCCUACGGGAGGCAGCAGUGGGGAAUAUUGGACAAUGGGCGAAAGCCUGGUCCAGCAAUGCCGCGUGAGUGAUGAAGGCCUUAGGGUUGUAAAGCUCUUUUACCUGGGAUGAUAAUGACAGUACCAGGAGAAUAAGCCCCGGCUAACUCCGUGCCAGCCGCCGCAGUAACAC